UCUUUUUGUGUUUAAUAUUUAAUAAACCAAAUAUUAAGCAUAAAAUGCUGAUGUACCUGGAAGACACAUGUGUGGUUUCUUAAAAAUAGAAUGUUUUUGUUUUGGAAUGCUUUGCUAAUGUGUAAUUAUAUAAAGCUGAACAGGGACGGGAAGGGAUUUUUUUUUUUUUUUUUUUUUUAAGAUUUAUUUAUUAUUUUAUGUAAGUACACUGUAGCUGUCUUCAGACACACCAGAAGAGGGAGUCAGAUCUUGUUACGGAUGGUUGUGAGCCACCAUGUGGUUGCUGGGAUUUGAACUCUGGACCUUCGGAAGAGCAGUCGGGUGCUCUUACCCACUGAGCCAUCUCACCAGCCCAUGAAGGGAUUCUUUUUACACUCUGCUUCUGGGGAGGUGUUUGAAGAGAGCACCUUCCCAAUGUAUGGACUUUUAGUGCCCUUGGCCUGUCAUCUCCACAAAGUCUCAUCACGCAGAUGCAGCUUGCCUGGCAUUCUCUAGGUAGCCCAGGCUGGCCUUGAGCUCAUAGCAAUCCUCCUGCCUCAGUCUCCUGAGUACUGGGUUUGCAGGUUUCGGGUACCACAUCAGCUUGAUUUCAUAAUGGAUAAAGGAAUAGUUUGGAGAAAAUAAUUUCUUCUGCAGUCUUUUUUAUUUCUGUCUAAUUUAAAAAUCUGUUACUUCCUUAAAAGGAGCUAAUAAAGGUUUUGAUGUAUUCUUACAUCCAAGUUUCAUGCCAUCUCUGUGUCAGUUUGGAUUUGUAUAUAUUCUGUUGUUUUUUAAUUGUUGUUGUUGUUUCAUGUCAGCAGUAUUUGUAUCCAACUUAACUUAUAUUUUCUCAAGUAUUAAAAUGUCAGCAUAAACCCACUCUGUUUGCUUUUUUAAUGUAUUUUAACUGUGUUUUGAUUAUUUGACCCAUGUUGGAAAUUGCAUAUAUGAAACUGAUAAAUUAAGAGUUUUAAAUAUUAUGUUAUUUUAAACAUUUUUUUAUUGUAUUGUUUCUCGAUAUUGUUUCAGAAAGACCAGACUCGUGGCUAAUUAUCUUUGAGAUAAUGGAAAUGAUCAGUUAUUAAAGUCAAAUUUUAUAGGACACACCAACACUGUGCUUACAGAAAGUCACUGAUAAUAGAAUUUCAAACUUCCUUUUCCCAUAGUCCUGUUUCAGGGUCACACUUUGAUACACCGUAAAUGUAUUUGAAAUCCUUUUUUUAAUGUUCUUUUAUGACCAGAGCAAUUAUUAAAAUGGAGUUAACCU
rnacentral:lncRNA from 1 species